CACUCAGUCAACAUGUAUACUCCUUGACUGAGCAGUGUUUGAGUGGGCACCAAGCUUAGACAUGUGUGUAGGGAGGCAAUUAUAACUAGUUACAGCCAUCCUGCCUCUUCUGUCCUCCUCUCUUCCCCAGCCUUAGCCCCCCAGCCUCAUGGGGCCCAGAGUCCUCCUUCAGAUGAGGCCAGUGUCCCAGGCAACUACCUGACGUGGGAAAAGCUGCCGUCCUAGAGAUCAGAAAGAACCCACCAGUCAGGAACAGCAAUUCUGAUGAUGUCAGCUUCUAAGUUUUCAGAAGCGACAGCCUCUGGUGUUCUUACAGCAUCAGAAGAGCAGAAAAGCUGGCCACUUAUGAACCCACACAUUGUUACAGAGCAUCUCGGCUUUCUGCCAAGGAGCACCACUCAGGCUUUAAAGAUUUGUCCUUUGAUUUUACUUUUUAGGGCAUCUUGAGACAAUGUUCUGCCUACACAAAAUUCUAAACUGAGAGGAGUGGCUCAGAAGCUCUACUAACAUGGAAUCACAUGUGGCACCUGCACAUGGCUUAGAAUCAUUUACACACAGAAACACAGGAUUGGAAAAGAUUUCAGAAAUGAUCUUACCCAACUGCCAGCUUAAUGCACAGCUCUCCACUGCAUCCCUGACUGGGGCUCUUCUGUCCUCUGCUUCAUCACUUCCCAGGCUGGAGACAACAGGGCAGUGAGACCCGUUACUGGUGGAGAAUGGCCCCCAUCUUGCAGAGAGGAAAUAUCUUACUCCCACCCACAGAUCCUAGCCCCAGAUCUAUGGCAUUUAAGAUAAGCUUUAAGAACUCAUCUCACAGGAAAUAAAAGAAGAAUUGGAGGGUUUUUUUUGUUUUUUGUUUUUUGGGUUUUUUUGGUCUUUUUUUGUUAUUUUGUUUUGAAGACCUCUUUCAGUUUAUU
rnacentral:lncRNA from 10 species